rnacentral:rRNA from 1 species
AGUGGCAGACGGGUGAGUAACACGUAGGAAUCUACCCUUUAGUGGGGAAUAGCCUUCCGAAAGGAGGGGUAAUACCGCAUACGGUCUACGGACCAAAGCCUUCGGGCGCUAAAGGAGGAGCCUGCGUCCUAUCAGGUAGUUGGUGAGGUAAAGGCUCACCAAGCCAAUGACGGGUAGCCGAUGUGAGAGCAUGAUCGGCCACAAGGUUACUGAGACACGGAACCUACACC